GGGUGUGUAGCUCAGUUGGUUAGAGCACUUCACUGAUAAUGAAGAGGUCGGAAGUUCGAGUCUUCCCACACCCAC
rnacentral:tRNA from 1 species